CUAUUAAGGUAGAAUUAAGACACAGGUAUCUAAAAAUCUCUAAAAGGUAAAACACAAAUUUCUCUUGGAAGAGUUCCCACAAUAGUACAUUAAAGAUUAAAGGCAUAAUGUAUCGUAUUUGGUGGCAUCUAGCAGCAUGGUUAUGUAUUUCAACCAACCAUAUACCCCUCCUAUAGAUACUCCUUUGCCACACAAACUGCAAUCACUUGUGUUUAUUGGUUAUUAGUUAAUUCUAACAAGAACGCUAAACCAAGACUUUAAUUGUCUUUGCGAGAAAGUUAGCGUGCAGCCGGCAUCUCUAGUAAAGGCCAAGUCUCAUCCUUUUAUUUAUCUAUUUGUUUUUCUCGCUGUUAAAUAGGUGUGCCUUAAUGAGCUGAUUACAUUUGAAUAGUUUGCUUUGUGUAGUCUUAUGCCACUUAUAGAGAGAGCACAUCUAUGUUCCCAGCCCCCCCGUGUUGACCAACUCAGUAGUCCCUUCAUAUGAUGAUAUGAUGACGGGUUUUUUUUAACGUUUUUUUUGUGUAUGCUCCCCUUUGUCAACAUAACAACACAUGUACCUGUAGCUUUUCACCUACUGAUGUUCUACUGCCUUAAACCUGUUGUUGUUAACAAUCUAUUUUAUAUUACUGUUACAAAAGUAGUACAAAAACGAAAAUGUCACGCCGAGCACUGAUCUGGUAAUUACUACAUCUGUGUUGGAUUUGGUUAAAAAGUCCACUCCCAACCCUGUUUCUGUUGAGUCUGCAUGACCUCAUUACUGCUGAAUUGGAAACUUGGUAAUCUGCUUCUCCUCUUUAUCUCUCUGCAGUCCCCAACCCAAUGCAGGGGCGUCAUCUCAGACAGUGCGCGUGCUGCCCACCAGCAAACCAGCCCCGUCACAAUAAUUACACUCAUCAUACACGUGACUACCCAGCGGAUUCGUGGGAUGAGCCUCGGCGCUAUCUGCAGUGAGGACGAUUCCUGUCCUUGCCUGAUGUUUUUUCACAGAUGUCAUGCAUAAAUUGGAGCAUAAAUUUCUAAUGUUUACAUCCCACAGGAACCCCGUCCCUCCAAAUGUCCCGUAUGGAUCUGUGCCUAAUCAGCGCGUGGGCCCUCCUAGAGAAUUGAUGCAUGAGGUCAGCGUAUACGGCUCCAUACAGGCCUGUCCAGGGCCGGCAACGGGUGAGAUCAGGAAGACCAUCAGCCUGUCUGAGGAGUAUAGGAAUGUCUUCAUCACAUAUUCAGUGGACACAGCAGAAGAGAUCAUUCCUUUUACCAAAUUUCUGACCGAUCAAGGGUUCAAACCAGCCGUAAGUCUUCCCUUUCCUCUCUCGAUGACUCUCCAUACAAACACUCUCACUAACACGCGUGUCCGCUGA
ensembl:lncRNA